AGUGAACGCUGGCGGUAUGCCUAACACAUGCAAGUCGAACGGCAGCACAGUAAGAGCUUGCUCUUACGGGUGGCGAGUGGCGGGCGGGUGAGGAAUACAUCGGAAUCUACUUUUUCGUGGAGGAUAACGUAGGGAAACUUACGCUAAUACCGCAUACGACCUACGGGUGAAAUCAGGGGAUCUUCGGACCUUUCGCGAUUGAAUGAGCCGAUGUCGGAUUAGCUAGUUGGCGGGGUAAAGGCCCACCAAGGCGACGAUCCGUAGCUGGUCUGAGAGGAUGAUCAGCCACACUGGAACUGAGACACGGUCCAGACUCCUACGGGAGGCAGCAGUGGGGAAUAUUGGACAAUGGGCGCAAGCCUGAUCCAGCCACACCGCGUGGGUGAAGAAGGCCUUCGGGUUGUAAAGCUCUGUUGUUGGGAAAGAAAAGCAGUAGGUGAAUACCUCGCUGUUCUGACGGUACCUAAAGAAUAAGCAACGGCUAACUUCGUG
rnacentral:rRNA from 1 species